rnacentral:rRNA from 1 species
AGAGAGAGACAUGCGCGCAUAUCAAUAAGCGGAGGAAAAGAAACUAACAAGGAUUCCCUUAGUAACGGCGAGUGAAGCGGGAAGAGCUCAAAUUUGAAAUCUUCAAGGUUCUACCUUGACGAAUUGUAGUUUAUAGAAGUGUUUUCUGUAGUGGAAGUUGGUAAAAGUUCUUUGGAAUAGGACAUCAUAGAGGGUGAGAAUCCCGUAUUUGGUCCAUUAUUUCCUAGCGUUGUGAUACACUUUCAAAGAGUCGGAUUGUUUGGGAACGCAGUCCAAAAUGGGUGGUAAAUUUCAUCUAAAGCUAAAUAUUGGCGAGAGACCGAUAGCGAACAAGUACCGUGAGGGAAAGAUGAAAAGAACUUUGAAAAGAGAGUUAAACAGUACGUGAAAUUGUCAAAAGGGAAGCGUUUGACACCAGUGUUGUUUUUCCGAAAAUCAAUUACGAAUGUUUUAUUUUUGAGGAGUUAUGACUUCAUCGGCUUGCUUCUUUCUUUACGAAACUUUCUUAAUGCACUUUUCGGUUAACAAGUCAACAUCAAUUUCUUUUGUUGUAAAAGGGUAUGAGGAAGGUGGCUUUCUUUUCGGAGAAAGUGUUUAUAGCCUUGUGCCUCUGCAAUCGGAGAGAUUGAGGUCUGCAGCGUAGAUCCUUCGGGGUUAGAUACAGUUUGUGCUAAGUUAUAGCUUUUCAUAGACAACUUGUUGACUAUGUUUAGUCUUGUAGCUUACUCGCUGAUGCUAUUUUACCUACGCUUAGGAUGUUGAUAGUCACAGCGUGUAC